rnacentral:rRNA from 1 species
UACAGUGGGUGCGAGCGUUAAUCGGAAUUACUGGGCGUAAAGGGCGCGUAGGCGGAUGAUCGUGAGAGGUGUGAAAUCCCUGGGCUUAACCUAGGAAGGUCACCUGAGACUGGUCGUCUGGAGUGCUGUAGAGGGUAGUGGAAUUUCCGGUGUAGCGGUGAAAUGCGUAGAUAUCGGAAGGAACACCGGUGGCGAAGGCGGCUACCUGGACAGACACUGACGCUGAGGCGCGAGAGCGUGGGUAGCAAACAGG